CAGCUGCGCUUUAACGCUUAGAACCGAGAAGCGGAAGAAUCAAAAGGUUCGAAAGAAUCAAAGGACUCGAAACAAAUCAGAAGGUCCGAAAGAAUCUACCUUGGAAGAGCCAAAGGACGAGUUAGCCCUUUCCACUGGUGACGUCCUGCCUUGGCUCGAGCCCAGCGCCCCGCAAGCGGUUGAAAAGAAUGGGACCCUUGGAGUGACAGAAGGCUCACUACCUCACAAGGCAGUCCAUUCUAGUUUCUAGUUUUUGUGUUGAAAGAAUGUGUCUCCCUUAUAUUUAGCGGAAACCUGCUAUGUAGUAGGCUCCCUGUGUGUUAAUGUAUUUAUUUCUUUGGCGUCACCCAGCUUAUCUCACUGCCAGUAUAGUUCGUGUGUGUGCUUCUCUCUGCCCUCUGUAGGCAGACUUCAUUUCAUAGUUCACUUGCCCACCUCUCACACCUCUUCUGAGCGAGUUAUUUGUUUAACUGUGGCCUUAGAAUGACAUUUUAAAAGCAGAGCUGUGACAUUUCUCGAAACACUUGGUCGAGCCAGGCGUUUCAAGGUCCCUUCCUUGAACAGUGACUGAACCCUAAUAGGACUAGUAAAGAGUUCAUUCAUUCAUUUAUCAAAUAUUUAUUGAGCAGCUACUGUAUGUCAGAUCAAGGUGCUGGCAAGCAAUUCAUUCUGCUCACUUAGGGAUUGGAUCAGUUUGUGAUGUGUGACAAUAGAGAUAUGGGGGCCCAGGUGACGGAAACUUCAUUCAACCUGAGGAGGAGGUAGGGAGGAGGAGCAAGCACAUCAGGCUGCAAGACUUGAGAACAAAUACUGCAUGUUCUGGAAACUGCAUGCAGAUCAGGAUUACUGAUGUGAAGGAGCUCACAGGUGUGGAGGUGACCUGAGAGGACUCAAGCCAGAGAAGCAGGACCAGAACCCAAAGAGCCUCACAAGCAGGCUCGGAGGAGCGCUUGAGCCGAAAGACCAUGGGAAACCACUGAUGGAUUUUAAGGUCGUCUAGAAAAAUCCUUCUGACAGUAACACAGAGAAUGAAGUGGAAGCCUAAGACUCUAGACCAAGAAACGCGUAAGGAAGAUGCAAUCCAAGAACACGUGAUGAGGCUCUGAACCCUCAGGCCAGUGCCAGUGGAGGUGGAGAAAAGGAAAUGGAUACAAAAGACCCUUAGGAGGGAAAGUGGACAGGAUCUGGUGACAGAGAGAGAGGAUUGUCGGCUGACUCCAAGUUACAGCCUAAGCAAUUUGCAGGUGUUCGCUGAGGUAUACAACAGAAGAAAGGGCAGGCUUAGGUGAAGAUGAUGAGUUUAGCACAGUCACUCUGGUCCUGUGAACACUUUUUCUCCUCCAUGCCCCGUUCAAUUCAGUCUGCAUCAUACACAGCAGCUGCAACUCAUCAGAAACAAA
rnacentral:lncRNA from 1 species